AGCAGCCGCGGUAAUUCCAGCUCCAAUAGCGUAUAUUAAAGUUGUUGCAGUUAAAAAGCUCGUAGUUGAAUUUCGGGGUCAGUAGGUUGGUCAUGCCACUGGUAUGUACUGAUCUUACUGAUUCCUCCUUCCUGAUGAACCGUAAUGCCAUUAAUUUGGUGUUGCGGGGAGACUGGACUGUUACUUUGAAAAAAUUAGAGUGUUUAAAGCAGGCUAACGCUUGAAUACAUUAGCAUGGAAUAAUGAAAUAGGACGUUCGAUCCUAUUUUGUUGGUUUCUAGGAUAGACGUAAUGAUUAAUAGGGAUAGUUGGGGGCAUUAGUAUUCAAUUGUCAGAGGUGAAAUUCUUGGAUUUAUUGAAGACUAACUACUGCGAAAGCAUUUGCCAAGGAUGUUUUCAUUAAUCAAGAACGAAAGUUAGGGGAUCGAAGACGAUCAGAUACCGUCGUAGUCUUAACCAUAAACUAUGCCGACUAGGGAUCGGAUGAUGUUAAUUUUUUAAUGACUCA
rnacentral:rRNA from 1 species